rnacentral:lncRNA from 1 species
CUACACAUAGUAUUAGCCUACGUAAGGUCAUUACGGCGCCGUUUCCCUUUUUAAUUGGCGUAGUUCAACUCAUCAUCCACCCAAGUUCAUUUCGUUCAAAGCUAUAAAUAACCCCUCAAACCAUUCAACUUUCCCACCACCACUCCUCACUCCUUCAACUCAUUAACCUCUCUCUCUCUCUCUCCUUCAACUCAUUAACCUCUCUCUCUCUCUCUCUCUCUCUCAUUUUCAUCCGCAAAUGGCGAACCGUAGAAGCCUCUUUUCUCUCUCACUUAUCUUUGUGUUCAUGAUCAACUCAGCCAUAGCCACUCCAGUCACAUACAAUGUGGCCAGUUUAGGAGCCAAAGCAGAUGGCAAGACUGACUCCACAAAAGCCUUCCUCUUUGCAUGGGCUAAAGCUUGUGCCUCGAUGAAUCCCGGUGUCAUUUAUGUGCCGGCAGGAACGUUCUUUCUUCGCGAUGUGGUGUUCAGUGGGCCUUGCAAGAACAAUGCCAUCACCUUCCGCAUUGCCGGAACCCUUGUGGCCCCGUCGGAUUACCGGGUCAUCGGUAAUGCAGCUAACUGGAUUUUCUUUCACCAUGUAAACGGGGUUACCAUAUCAGGUGGAAUUCUUGACGGCCAAGGCACGGCCUUGUGGGCUUGCAAGGCCUCUCAUGGCGAGAGUUGUCCCAGCGGAGCAACGGUAAUUAAUUCACUACUUUAAAUAUCAUAUUCAUGACACCAUUAAAUAUCAAAUUCAUGACACCAUUAUUUUGUGCUUCAUUAUUAGUGAGAAUUUUAAAGGUCAACGUACGUACAAUUUGCUUUAUUAUUUGCUACCAAUUGAAUUGAGGGUUUAUAAAAUAAGUUUAAACUCUACAGAACGUAAUCAAAUGGACAUGAUAAAUUGUACCACAAGCUUAGCUUGAUCAAGUAAUUUCGUGUAUAUAUGUGCAGACUUUGGGUUUUUCCGACUCAAACAACAUCGUGGUGAGUGGAUUGGCAUCCCUAAACAGCCAAAUGUUCCACAUAGUCAUCAACGACUGCCAAAAUGUGCAAAUGCAAGGUGUCAGGGUUUCUGCUUCCGGGAACAGCCCUAACACCGAUGGCAUUCAUGUCCAAAUGUCAUCUGGUGUCACAAUCCUCAACUCCAAGAUUGCAACCGGUGACGAUUGUGUCUCAAUUGGCCCCGGAACCUCAAAUUUGUGGAUAGAAGGCGUUGCUUGUGGACCUGGCCAUGGAAUUAGGUACGACAUCAAAAUUAUAUAUUUAUCCAUGAUUGAUCAAACUAGCUAAAUGCAUACUAUUUCAUAAUAUAUGUUAUAAUGUAUAUCUUUUUUCUUCGUUGCUUAAUGACAUUUGAACUUAGGACAUCUUUCAAUAAAGUGGAGAUUAAUUGGUUGCUAGUAGAGAUUCAUUGCCUACAAAAAGUAUAUCUUUCUUUUGGGUGGAUGUUCUAGUUGUAAAUUUAACAUUGCUUUAUUUGAUGGUUCAGCAUUGGAAGUCUAGGCAAGGAGCAAGAAGAGGCCGGUGUACAAAAUGUAACAGUUAAAACGGUUACCUUUACUGGUACUCAGAAUGGUCUAAGAAUCAAGUCAUGGGGGAGGCCAAGCACUGGGUUUGCUAGAAAUAUUCUUUUCCAACAUGCUACAAUGGUCAAUGUCGAAAAUCCUAUUGUCAUAGAUCAACAUUAUUGCCCCGACAACAAAGGGUGCCCUGGUCAGGUAAGAUAUCAUUCUUGCUCUAACGGUCAAUUCCCAGAGUUUAAUAUUACAACUAAAUUUUCUCUUCUUCACUUUCAUAGUGUAACGUUUUUGAUAAAAACGUUGGCAUCGCCAAAUUAUAACUGUCUAAUUUCGAAACAUAUCAAAAGCUUUCUUGGGCUUCCACCUAGAAGAGCCAAUAAUUUUAGACCCAAAGCAAAUCCAAUAACUCCUUCUUCCAUGGGCUUGCUCUCCUACUACUUACAAAGGUCGAGCCUUGCCCAUUGUAACCUUUGUAACUUAUUAAUUUCAUUGUAUGUGCAAUGAGAUUGAGGGUUGUAGCUUAAGUGGUUAACAAUAUUUACUCAUGUAUUCGAAGUUCUAGAUUUAAUUCCCCUCUUUUCCAAUACCAUUUUUAUCAAAAUGACUUCAUCGUAGCUUAGCCAAAAAAGCAUUAAACUUCCCAUUAAGCCGAAUUACCAUGCUAUAAUGCUUGUUCACCUUCUGUUUUAUCAAAAGCUGGAAAUCUGACUUCCUAUUGUUUUUUUUCUUUUGUCAAUUUUGUUUUUCGAUAGGUUUCCGGAGUUCAAAUUAGCGAUGUGACAUACGAAGACAUACACGGUACAUCAGCAACAGAAGUUGCAGUAAAAUUUGAUUGCAGUCCCAAGCACCCUUGCAGCGAGAUCAAAUUGGAGGAUGUGAAGCUUACUUACAAGAACCAAGCAGCUGAGUCUUCAUGUAGCCAUGCAGAUGGAACAACUGAGGGUGUGGUUCAGCCUACAAGUUGUUUGUAGAGUGGAAAAAUAUGAACUGCUUGUAGAAGUAUUGAAAUCCAAAAGUUUGCCCUCCAGUACUAAGGACAAAUGAAAAGUGAAUUAUACGAUUUAUAUAGGAAGAAUGAGCUUGUGUUGUUGGCAGCCUACUUGGGCUUCCCUUGAGCCUGGCCGUUCAAUUAGUUUAGUUUGUUCAAACUCGUCCACUUCGAUGGGUGUUUAUGUUAUGAAUUGUUGUAAGAUUAUGUUCGGGAUACGUUAAAUUUAUAAGAUUAAAUUUUAUGUUGAUGGCUAAUGUGGCAUUUGACAUAGGAUUCAAUAUUCUAUCAAUUUAAUUCACAAUUUUAUUAUAAUCGAAGCACACAUUAAAUAGUAAAAAUUUGGUUCAAGAAACAAAAGGAUUUGAAGUCUCGCAUGAACUUUUUGGUUGGAGCAUUUUCUCAUGUCAAAUUUUACCCGUUAAAAAUUUAUUAUGAUAUUUUAACAUUUCGGUUGGAGUAUUUUUUUCAUGUCAAAUUUGACCCGUUAAAAAUUUACUAUGGUAUUUUAGCAUUUCGGUUGGAGAUGUAUAAAUCUUAAAAAUGCAUUCAAGAUGCAUUUUUGUUUCUUAAGCUUUGAGCUUUAGGUAAUUAACUUUAAAUGUUGUUGGGCACCUUGCACUAGUUGAUUAAAGAAAAAUAGACCCGAAGCAAGAUUCCUUGUAGUUGCCAAUUCGAAGUUUUCUUUAUCGCUACAUACUUACUGGUCUACAAGUUCUCUCUCUAAUACAUAAUUUGACAUAAAUAAAUACAGUGAAGAGUGCAUUGACUAAACAGAAAAAAAAACAAAAAAAGCAGCACGUAAGCAAUUACGUGCAUUUGGUGUAAAAGCUAAAGGCCUCUGAUUUAUGUAAGCAGUUACGGUAAUCAUAUUAUAUUAUAUGUAUCUUAGUUCUGCAAUUGUAACAGGAAUAAUAUUGUUUUGUUAUCCCCAAUCAAUAAUACAAUGAUACGUGAAAAAGUUAUUUAACAUGUCAUUGCGUUAUUAGCUGGGGAUAGCAAACAGUGCUAUCCCCAUUACAUGAAAGUCUUUCUCCUGCAUAUCCUAUUAUACUAUUAUAAAACUCAAUUGGUCAAUCAUAGUGAAAAAAAUAUAGUGAAAGAAAAAAGAAGAAGAAGAAAAUAUCAAUUAAGCCCCUCUUAUAUUGAACACUUCAAUAAUAAAAUAAAAAUUGCAUAUGGAGUAAAGUCAGUCAGUUAAGAUAGUAUGCUAGUUCUUUUGCACCUGAGUUCAAUUUCCUUCCCCGAACAUUUUCAAAUAAAUAAUAAUAAAAUAAAAUGUGAAUUUGAUAGUCAAUGUCGUAGUAAAAUAUGGUUUUUUAGUAUCAAUAUUAAGGAAAGCCAUUGUUCUUUCUAGCAGAAUGCCCGCCACUGCUAGAGAGAGAGAGAGAGAGAGAGCGGAAUGGCAGAAGUGAGUAACAAGCAGGUGAUACCGAGGGAGUAUGUCACUGGCUUUCCCAAAGAGUCAGACUUGUACGUGAAUAGCACUGCUACUAUCAAGUUGAAGCUUUCUGAGGCCCCCGAGCAUGAGGGUUCUUCAAAGAAACUAGUUCUAGUGAAGAAUCUUUACUUGUCCUGCGAUCCCUACCAACGACUAUUUAUGGAAAGAAUCGAAGGCCUCAGCAGCCAAUCCACUUCCUCCUAUACGCCUGGUUCUGUAAGCAAAACCCAUCAUAUAUCUUUUCCUUUCAAUUUCUGUAAACAUAUAUACCAAAUGUUAUGCUCAAAUAUAUAUUAAUUGUUAAACAUUGUUCCCUUAAAAAAAACAAUUUAUUGCAAAAUUGGAAUAUACAAGAGGUAACUCUGCACAAAUAUUAAUGACAAGAUGAGGUGGCUAAAAGCACUGUUAAUGUCUAUCAGCGCGCAAUGAGCACGAAUAACUGUGAUUAUUAAGUAGUAGGAGCUGAUAGUUGUUUUUGUUACCACAUCCUAUGCCACAAAUAUUAAUUAUUACCAAUUAUUCUUCUAGUAAUGCUUGUUUUUUUGUUGAUGGCAACAUUGGGAGGAGGGAAUCAAAUACAAGUUUGAUCAUAUGAUUAAUUUAAUUUUGUUGGUGUAAACGUGCAGCCAAUAUACGGGUAUGGAGUGGCUAAAGUUUUGGACUCUGGGCACCCAGAUUUGAAGGCAGGUGACUUAGUUUGGGGGACUACCUAUUGGGAAGAGUACAGCCGAAUCCCUGAACCCGAAGGCCUGAUCAAAAUCCAGCACACUGAUGUACCUCUAUCCUAUUAUACUGGAAUUCUUGGUAACAAGUCAAACCUAUUUUAGAUCAUGAUGAUAUGUGUUGGUUUAGAUACGUAAGUGUAUUUUUUGUAAUUUCAUUUCAGGUAUGCCUGGUUUGACCGCUUAUGUUGGUUUCUAUGAAAUUUGUUCUCCUAAGAAAGGAGAACAUGUCUUCAUUUCAGCAGCAGCUGGUGCUGUUGGUCAGCUUGUUGGACAAUUUGCAAAAUUAAUGGGUUGUUAUGUUGUUGGAAGUGCUGGCAGUAAGGAAAAGGUACGAACUUGAGAAAUCUUUGAACUUCAAAUUAAUAUUAUCUACACCAUUUUUUCUUGUUUGGGUUGUAUUUUGCUGUUGUUAUUUGGGCCAACUUUGGUGUUGGUUUGGUUUGGGGCCUCUGUUUGUGCGCUGGGACUACAAUGAGUGGAAAGUUAUAAGGGGUAAGUUAUAAGGGGUUCACUUUAUAGCCAUCAGAUCAAUCCAAGGGCUGGGGAGAAUUGAGAUAAAGUUUCACAAUUGGGUAGGUGAGGAACCCAAACCCGAAUUGAAUAUCCAGCACGUCCAAAAAGAAGAAGAAGAGGGAAACACGUUCGAAAAAGAAGAAGAAGAGGCAAGUUCGAAGUUUGAACAGAAAGAACUCAUCUCUCUAAAACCCAGAGGUCUGAGAUACCCAAUGAAGGCAACGGCUAACGACAGUUGAAGGCAACGAUUCGCCACUCCGUUCUCCAGACCCUGAAAAAGUAUUUAUUUGGAGUAGAAGGGGCAAAGGUGUGGAUUCCAAAUCAAUGAAGGGGCGAAGCAGUGGAAGGGGAAGGGGAGAAGCUAUAAUCGUUGGAAGUGGUAGGUUCCAUUUGUGGAGCAAAGAAACAGAAAGACCCCACACAGACACCUUGCAAUAACCAGCAUUUGGUGAGUAAUUUAUGGAAUUUGAGUUUAGGGUUAGAGUAAUGGUUUUCCUCAAUUUGUAGCAUAAAUUUUGUUGGAUUUGGCAUCUCUUCGUUGUGCUUGAGUUGCAUGUUAAUUUUUGCUUAGGUAUAUGUUAAAAAAAGAAUGAAAAUCAAGUCAAUAACAAGUGAAUAACAUGUCAAUAAUGAUAUGAAUAAGAUAAUGGUGUUGAAUUGGAGGAGGCCCUCAAAACCUUCCACAUUUGAAGCAGUGCAUAGUGCAGAUUAAGAAGAGGCGGUAGAAUAUAUAUAUAUAUAUAUAUAUAUAUAUUUUAUGAAGUAAAUAUGAUUUCCUUUGUUACUAAAUUUGCCUGAGAAACAUUUGAACAGAUAAUAAUAAACUCAUGAAUAGAAGUGCAAAGCAUUUGAUGAGUAAUUUAAGGAAUUUGAGUUUAGGGUUAGAGUAAUGGUUUUCCCCAAUUUGUACCAUCAAUGUUGUUGGAUUUGGCAUCUCUUAUUUGUGCUUCAAUUGCAUGUUAAUUUUUGCUUGGGUAUAUGUUAAAAAACGAAUGAAAAUAGAGUCAAUCACAUGUCAAUAACAUCUCAAUAACAUGUCAAUAACAUGUUAGUAAUGAUAUGAAUAAGAUAAUGGUGUUAAAUUGGAGGAGGCGCUCAAAACCUUCCACAUUUGAAGCAGUGCAGAGUGAAGAGUACCUCUCUGGCCCUAGAAUUUAUAUAUUUUGUGAAAUAAAUAUGAUUUCAUUUGUUACUAAAUUUGCCUAUGAGAAAUGAGAACAGAUAAUAAUAAACUCAUGAAUAAAAGUGCAAAGCAUUUGAAAUGAAGGUUGAUCUAUGACGAUUGUGGGUGACUGAAGAAAAAGCUAGAAAGAAAGAAGGAUGUGGCAAUUGCUUAGCAAGCAGAUAGCAGAGUAGAUGCUUUGCUUUGCUUCCUUCCACUAUAUUUCUUAUUUAUUUAUUUUGUGUUGUGUAUGAGAUGACAAUAAUUGUCAUGUGUGUGAAGUGCAGAACUUGCCUACAUUGCACUCACACGAGUAUGGAUCCAUAAAUAAAACACGUGAAAUUGUUUGUAAUUCACAUAAUCAUUGCAUUAACAGGUAUUUGCACAAAAUUUGUCAUAUUGCUUUGAUGAUGUUAAAGCCUAUGAUCAGUAAUCCGUAUGCUCAUGUACUUUGUAAAAUUUGUAAUGUGCCUGGUUGACUAGUUGUGAUUGUGCAAAUACGUGGCAGUAUAUGUGUUCACGUUAUUUCACAUUGUAUUUGAGGAAAUGGGAUCCAACGUGGAGCUGGUAUGGCCAGAGGCAGAGGCAUAUUCGUCACGGGUGAACAACUGCUCACAUGCAAAUUCAUCUCUAGCUGCAAUUCGAGCGAAGUUGAGUGCGGAACAAUUAGAACAAUUCAAGACAUCAUGCUUUGGCCAUCUUCUGAAUAUAGAUAAGAUUCAGUUUAGCGGGCAGAUUGUGCAUGGGGCUGUGUUGCGUAGAGUAGCGGGGCAGGGUGUGAAAGACUUGGAUGGACUGAGUUUCUUAUUAGGGUGUGACGUUGCUCAGUUCACUCGUCAGGAUUUCUGUUUGAUCACAGGGCUUCGUUUUGGGGAAGUGCCUGAAGUUUCCAGUGGAGAGAGUGAUGUAAUCAGACUUCAGAAAAGAUAUUUUAUAGACGAAGGAAUUACAUGCAAUGCUUUAGAAGAAGCAUUUAUGGGGUGCACAGAGGAAGAUGACAUCUACAAGCUAGCUCUUGUUUACUUUGCUGAGUUAGUGGUUUUGGGAAGGGACAAACAUUUGAACAUCAAUCUAAAUUACCUGACCCUUGUAGAGGACUUGGAUGCGUUCAACAGGUAUCCGUGGGGUUCGGUGUCCUUUGACAAAACCCAAGACAGUCUAUUUUCUGCACCAACAAAGUAUGUGAAAAGCUUGCAAAAUGAAGAGGGAAGAGGGAAGGGGAAAAGUAAGGUAACGGGAACAAGCCGGAGAAAUGAGAAGGGCAGGAAGGAUAAGCAUGGUGAAGCGCAAAGGAGUGGCUGGAGUUUUAAAGGUUUCACGUAUGCUUUCCAGGUACAUGGUAAUAAUGUUCAUGUGAGUUAUGUUUUGUUUUUCUUUAAAACAUAAAUAAUGACUUUUGUCCUGUGAAUUGUGUAGAUUUGGGUAUAUGAAUUAAUUCCUAGAAUGGCGGACCUGAAUUACUGCAAGGUUGUUGAUCCGACCGCUGUCCCGCGUAUUUUGCGAUGGAGAACUACUACGUCUGUUCCAGAGAUGAGAAAGUUGAACAAUUAUUUUUUCCAGAGCAAAGAGGUUUGGUUUGCAGCCCUUGGAACUAUUGAUAAGAUUGAAUGAAAUUUUGAAGUAGAAUGAUUUAAUAUGACUGUGGUUUGUAUUCUGAAACAGUCAGUUCAGUUGCGGGCGCUAUGUCCGAGUGAAGAGGAAAUGAGACAGCCAUAUUGGAGUUGGCCACAGGAUCGCCCUGAUGAGACAGCCAUAUUGGAGUUGGCCACAGGAUCGCCCUGCUGUUGUCUCGGCAGAGUCAAUUCCUUCUUUAUGUGGUGAUCUUGAUCAGUUGAACAAGGUGGUAAGCUUGUUGAGGUCCGAGUUGUUUCAAGUAAAGCGGGAAAAAGACGUCCUUCACUUAAAGGUCAUACGGAUGGAAAAACUGUUGGACCAAUGUUUAGGUCCUCAGUUUGAGCAGGAAGUAAGGAGGGACCUAGCUUUACUGAAACAGAGGACGAAGCGUUGUGUCGUCUCACAUCUAUUUAGGGGAUAUCGGGAAUUGGAUGACAUUCAAUGGGAUGAAGGGCCAAGUAACAGAAAUGAGGGAGAGGAAAAGGAAGAUGAAGGGAUUGAAGGGGGUGAAGGGCCAAGUAAUAGAAAUGAGGGAGAGGAAAAGGAAGAGGAGGGGAUUGAAGGAGAGGAAAAGGAAGAGGAGGGGAUUGAAGGGGGUGAAGUGCAAGGAAUACCAAGUGAGGUAGAGGAAGGGCAAAGGAAAAGAAGUGAAGGAGAGCAAGUGCAAGUAAAAAGUAGCAAAGGAGAGGAAGCCCAAAGACAGAGCAGUGAGGGAGAGGAAGUGAAAAGAAAAAGCAGUAAGGGAGAGAAACUGCAAAGGAAAAAAAGGGAGGGCAAGGAAGUGAAAACACAAAGAAGUGAGGAAAAGGAAGUGCAAAGAAACCAAUGUGAGAAAGAAGAUAAUGAAGUUAUGUUGCUUGGGGAUGACAUUGGCGAGAGCACGGAGGGGACACUGCUUGAGUUUACUGUCGGGGACAUUGAUUUGGAUCAACCUACAGCUGUGCUAUCUCAGUUGAACGUGUGGUUGAAUGAUAAAGGUAAAGCUGUGGCACAAGGGGUCCAAUUACGGAAAAGGAAGAGGAUCAUUCCUAUGUGGAAGAUCAUUGAAGGCAUUGAAUUGGUUCCAAAAACUGGGGCACAGACAACCGGACUGAAGAUGUUAGACCCAAUGAAGGCGAUUCCGCAUGAUGAUCUGGUGAAUUUGCUGAAACUUUGUUGGGAAUGGCGCCAGGACCCAAAGUAAGUCCCUUGCAAUUAUAAGAUAGAAGCACGACUGUAUAUAAUUUUUAAUAUACAGUGUUCUAAAACUGUUUUAUAUUCAUAGUUUAGUGAUGCAAUUUGGCAACGUGGAAGCUGAGAUUGAAUUCUUCGCUUCCCUCGUGAAAGCUGAUGGUUGGCUGAAAGGAGAUGUAAGUGUAAUUGAUUAUGCAUUUGUUUUAAUGUAUAUAGAUUAUGAGAUUGACAAGAACAACAUGUUGCAGCACAUUGAGUUGGGGUUGUAUCUCAUCCGGAAGCGACAACAACAGUUUGAGGAAGUAGAAAUAGCGGACUGGACAACGACAGAUGUUUUUUUUAUGGUAUGUCAUCGGCCUUGACCAAGUGCCGUUAAUAAUUACACAUUUUCCAUACAGACAAUAGUGGAGGUGUUUAACCAUUGAUUGUUUUGUAUUUCACAGAAUCACAUUCGAACUUGCUUUGCGGAUAAUAAAAGAAAAAAACAGCAGCUUGGGUGGAAAAUCAGAAAAAGUUUACUAAACGUUGUAAAUGGGAAGGUUCCUCCGUGUGGGAUGGAUUGGCAGAACGUCUAUACGGUGUAUACCCCAGUUAUGUUGACGAAGUACAAGCAUUGGGUGGCUGUAAUGAUUGAUCUGGUAUUGUGUGAAAUCAAAGUGUACGAUUCAAAGGUUUCACUAAUUCCAGAUGACAUCGUAAAGGAAGAACUCGCCCCGCUAUCAAUUAUGCUUCCAAAUCUUCUCAACACCAUCGACUUUUAUGAAGAAGGUGUUUAUGCAAACAAUUGCAUGCGAGAUUGGUGGUGUCCGUGGCCAAUAGAGCGUGUGGAUGUUCCACAACAGUCUAAUGAGUAAGCACAACUUGCAAUUUAAUUUUAUUACUUUCAAUUGUCAAUUACGUUAGAAUGUCAUUAGUUGAAUUGAUCGAGUUCUUGUUUUGCUUCAGAGGCGAUUGUGGCAUGUUUGUGUUAAAGUACAUUGAGCUUAUCAGCGCUCAGCUUUCGUUAGCUAUUUGCACCUCGCACAACAUGCCUUUUUUUCGGUUGAAAUUGGCUGCGGAGAUAACAAGGGGAGAUGCUUACUUCCCAUGAUAUUGGUUGAAGAUGACAAAUGGUACAUGAGAAGGUUUUGGGAAUGUCCAUUCUCAAACUAAUGUAAAUACACAAUAGAGACGUACGUGUCCUUUUCGAAUUCUACCGCUAACUCCUUCAUGACAUUUACAUGUUUGUUAACCAAACUGCAUUGAAUUGGAAUUUUAAGACUGCAUAUGUUAAUUGGGAUUUGAAGAUGGCUUUUUAAGUGUAUUACACCAUUGCAAAGUGAUAUGUCAUUGUUGAUGCAAGCCACCAUUAUUCGCAAUGAGUUGCAUCAUAAUAGGUGUGUAAACAUGCGAAAGGUUUUCGGCAGCUCAGUAGCAUAAAAGUAGAAACAAUUACAAUAUACACAAAAUGAACAACAAUUCACUUGCGUUUGGACAAGCAAUACAGACACAACAGACAAACAAUAUACACAAAAUUGGCCUGCCAUAUACAGACAUACACACAGUAGACAUGCAAUAUACACACAGUAGACAUGCAAUAUACACACAAUAGACAUGCAAUAUACACACAAUACACAUGCAAUAUACACACAAUACUCCCUUAACACACACAAUAGACAUGCCCUUGCCCACAAUAAUGAUGCAAUAUACUUCAGUCCCCAAGUACACCAACCAUAAGGAAGUCGUAUUGAAUAGGAUAUUAAACUUAACAGUUGUUCUUCCUACUAAAAGAAAGAAUAACGUCCGUUUCCCCCCUUCAUUCUUACUUCAGUGAUACUUGUGGCCCCAAUAAACAUCCAAUAUUGGGUCAAGGAUAUUCCAUAUACAUGCAGCAAACUAUCAAUAAACCUUCAAUAAACAUUCAAUAUCGGUUCUAUAACAUGCGAAAUACAUGCAGUUAACAAAUAUUACAAAAUGGGUUUAGGGUCUCAUUGGUGGUGCGUGCAACAUGUCUUGUGCGGAAGAACUUUCACAAUCUUUGAAACCAUGCAGUUAAAUGAUCCUUAAAAGAACAAAUAAAAUGACAAUUGAUACAACUAAUAAAACUAAUACCAAGUCCUUAAUGGACUUCAGCAUGUUCAGCACUCUAGCAUCAUACGUGUCAUCUUGAUGUUCUGCUUCAGCGGAGGUUACAUCAACCCAUUCGAAUCCAUUGCAACUGGUGGCUCCCUAAUUGCAGGCAUCAUAUAUGGAAUAUAAUUCUGUUAGAGUUAGACAUGGGUUUAUUUUGACCCACAUACAUAUUAUUGAAAUUAAAACUUACAUAGGAGGUUAGACACUUCCAGAAUGGCUUCCCUCGAUUUUUGUCAGAUUUUGAAACCCGAAGCACCAUUGUAGCUCCACAAUACUGACACCUCUUUGUUUGAGCAGGAGAUGAAGACGAAGACAUGUUGAAUCUUCUCAGUUGUACCUCUUCUCACUCAGAUCUUCUCACUGAAACCUCUUCGGACUCAUACCUUCUCACUCAUCGUUGUCAUUCAUACCCCUUCACUCAUAACCCUAAACUUGUCACUCAGCUCUCUCUCAUCUCUGCCCAAAUCGAGUUAUAUUUCUUUUUUUUGGGAUCAUUUGGUGGGUUGGUCACGAUCUCGACACCCGUACCGUCGGCAUUGCGACAUCUUUUAGCCCGAAAAGCAAUAUAAACUACUUCACUACCAAAUAUAUUUUCUGAAAAAUGAGGGGACACUGCUUCAAAUUUAUUAUUUUAUAUAUAUUUCAUUAAGGCAACUAGUUGGAUAAGAAUCCGUCAUUAUUGGUUCCAUUUGAAUAACAUUACUAGGGGUAGUUGGGUGUGGGAAAAUGAAAAAGUAUAUGAUGGGACCUUCUGUCACUACUCAGUAAUCCAUCACAUUUGUAUCAAUGAAUUUGAUAGUGGGAUAAUCCCACAAAUGGCUAUGCAAAUAGCCAUUUAAUGAACUUUUUGACUGUCUGACUCUGUAUGCACCGUUAUGACGUUUUCCCUUCUUUUGUCUUCAGUUUUAAUUCACUUGGGUUCAGUUUCUUUAAAAAUGGUCAACUUGGAAAAACCCCAACUGGAAACACCUUUUCAAAACACUAUAAACAGAGGCUAAAACAAAACGUGUACCCCAAAUAUUCUCAUUUAUCCCCUCUGCCACUCCUCAAAUCGUUCCAUUCCAAAAACUUUUCAAUGAAUUCGAAACACUUCACUACAGUCGGAGGAAAGAGAAGGAAGCAUCUCCAUUUCGAUAUGCCCGAAGCCUUCAUCCCGGAGUCCGCUUGGUUUCAAGUGAUGUUAUACGUGGCAACCGAAUCAUCGGAAGAUCUCUUCCGUAUGGCAUCUGUGUGCCCAUUGUUCCAAACUUUGGCAAACAGUCCACAAGUGUGGAACACCAUUUCAAUGGCAAAGUACCCACACCAUCCUAGCUGGUACCGUGCCAGACCUGCGGUCCAGCAUUUCUUGCAACAAUGCAGGGCUUGCGAUAACCCUGAGUCGAUAUUUAGAGAAGCAUUCGAUAUUUUUUUCAGGGCCAGUAAGGUGGAAGCGUUGUAUGGGAUGCGCAUUGCAGCCACGGCAGGCCAUAUGGAAGCGGCAUAUGUAGUUGGACUACUUGGUAUAUCCGGAAUUGGUCAGUCAAAAGAGGAUGCAUUACAAUUCUUGUGUUCUUUGAAUCAACGUAACAACAUUGAUAUGAAAGGAACCAGGGAUGCUUUGACACGAAGAUUAACCGGACCAAGAGUUGCAAGACAUAUCGUAGAUAUAUUUGACUAUGGGAAGAUUAAGUUCAAUCGCUGCAGCACUUGUAACAACAAUGAAUGGUAUUUUGUUAUUCAAGGCUGGCCUAGUGAAGACAAGAUAAAUCCUGCCUUCUAGACUUGUUGCAAUCGAUGCAAAUGGCACCGUGAGAGUAUUUUUUGGUUCAAACUGAUGCGUGAGUAUGUUGUGCGAGGGAAUCAUGUAUUUUUGCAUUAGUUUUAGUACGAAUUUACGGUUUUGAUGCAUUGUGGACUUACUUCUCUUCACUUCUAGGUUGGCUGGCUACGUUGUACAAAUGUUGUUUAAAUGUUGUUUAAAUGUUGGUAUUUUGUCAUAAACCGUUUUAUAUAUAAAUGUAUAAUAUUUAUUAUAUAGCGGAAUUAUUACUUACAUCAUAGACGGCUACGAAUGACAUUUUACUGACACAGAUAUUUUGCUCACCCACCCCAAUAUUCAUAUUUGGUAAACGAAAAGUCAUGCAUGGAGUAAAUAGGUGUCUUUUCACCAAUGCUUGGGAAUGACAUUUUCCCACUUAGCAUAUUCGACAGGAUUUGGUUACACGUUUCUUAAGCAAAAGUUGAACAGUGAAUGACGUUGAAUAAUUUGUUUGUGUGGAAGGAGUACAAUGGAUGACUUGUAUAUUUCCAUAUUAUGUUUGAAAACAUCCCUUCAACCUAAAAAAUAAAAAAAUUAACAAAUUGAAGAACAGAGAAACCGAUGAGCACUACAAAUGGCCUAUUCGCACGGAAAAUAAAAUUGUUUUAAACAAGUUGGACUAAAUAUAAUUAACAAAUGGACAGCCUAAAAAGUAAUAUCAUAAUAAUUAUAAUAAUUGUGGAUUAAUAAUAAUAAAAUACUAAUGUAGCAUAACCAUGAAACAGGGAAUUCAGUAGGAAGAUGAAAUCUCAAUAAGUUCGUUGAAAUGUUCGGAUCGUUUUUCUAAUUUUUGUGUAUUUAGUUCUGAAUUUUCCAAGAAAAAAAGUAAUUAAAUAAUAAUUUAGGGUAAAAUGGGAUGAUGUGGCCAUGUUGACUGACGUACACUUGUGCAAGUACUCAUAAGUGAGGGGCUGAGAUCGCGCCAGGUGUCUUCUUGGAAUUAGGGUUGGCUAUUUUAGUGGAAAAAUCCUUGAAAAUAGGUAAAAAAUAGUAGGAAAUUCCUAUUCUAGGUUGGGAAAAUUACCCGCGCCUCCUUGUGACGUCAUAAAACUAGGAGAACCUAUAAAUCAUCCGUCUCGCAAUGAAAUAAUCCAAAAUGUUUUACAUAACUCACUUCCCUCUUUACCCUAAGUAUUGAUGUUUGUUAACUUGAACUUCAAUAACCUACUUCAACAAGCAUCUCCCGUUAAUGUUGGGAAUAAUUGUCUAAAAUGCGUAACAAUGAAUCGGAGAAUUCAGCAAGGGAGAUGGAGUGUCAAUGAGUUCGUAGCAAUUUUCGGAAAUAAUUUUGAAUUUUUGUGUAUUUAGUUAUGAAUUUUGUAAGACAAAGUAAUAAAAUAAUAAUUUAGGGUAAAAUGGGAGGAUGUGGCCAUGUUGACUGACGUACACUUGUGCAAGUAGUCAAAAGUGCCGGGCUGAGAUCGCGCCAGGUGUCAUCUUCUUUUCAAUUUUGGAUUCUUUUGUUAAAAAAUCUUUGAAACUAAGUAAUAAAUAGUAGGAAAAUCCUAAAAAUGCCCCCAAAAUUACUCCGGCCUACUUGUGACGUCAUAAAACUAGGAGAACCUAUAAAUCAUUCGUCUCGCAAUGAAAUAAUCCAAAUUGUUUUACAUAACUCACUUUCCUCUUAACCCUAAGUAUUGAUGUUUGUUAACUUAAACUUGAAUAACCUACUUCAACAAGCAUCUCCCGUUGAUGUUCGGAAUUAUUUUUAAAAAUGCGUAACAAUGAAUCGGAGAAUUCAGCAAGGGAGAUGGAGUGUGAAUGAGUUCGUAGCAAUUUUCGGAUAAUUUUUUUAAUUUUUGUGUAAUUAGUUCUGAUUUUUGUAAGGAAAAGUAAUAAAAUAAUAAUUUAGGGUAAAAAGGGAGGAUGUGGCCAUAUUGACUGACGUACACUUGUGCAAGUAGUCAUAAGUGACGGGCUGAGAUCGCGCCAGGUGUCCUCUUGCUAUUAUUUUGGCUUUUUUAGUGCAACAAUCUGUGGACAUAGGUAAUAAAUUCUACGAAAAUCCAAAAAAUGCCCGGAAAAUGAGAAAAUGAAAAUUAUUUGUACAUAACUCACUUUCCUCUUAACCCUAAUUCACGUGUAACACGUAUAUUUCGGAUAAUAUUCGAUAUAUAAUUUGUAAUAAUACAAUAUUUAGUUUCACUAUAUACAAUAAUAUGUUUUGUUAUAAUAAUGUACAUAAAUAAUAAUUGCACAUGCUUUGAAGCCAUCAUUGCAACUACGCCUAGAGCUUUCAAGACGUCAGUUCGUAUUCAAUAAGUUGUCCACAUGCAAGUGCACCUACAGUUUUCAACACGUCAGAGGUAUUCAAUAAGUUGUCCACAUGCAACUGCACCUAGAGUUAUUAACACGUCAGAGGUAUUCAAUAAGUUGUCCAUAUGACGCCGCAUUGGGAAUCAGUAAUAUAUUUUCAAUCAUGUCCAAUCACAUAAAAUAAUGGCAUACUUUUUCUCAAUAACCUCACACAAGUGAAGCAAUUUUAAAACCCUUACUGAAUAUUUGUCCUAGUCUAUAUGAGUGAUUAUAUAAUCAGUCUGCAUUUUUUUCACAGUAUAUGUUAACUUUGAGAGGGAUUCCACAAACAUAAAAUAUAAAGAAAGCAAGAAAUAGUAGGAGAUGAACCAGUAGAAAAAACAAUAUAUAAAUGGUACAUAAUAAUUCCAUAACCUUGUCACAAACGCACUCACAAAAGCUUUUCCAUAAACCUUGUCCUAACAUAUAAUAAAUAAAGGCAACAUUGCAUAUGAUGCAACCAUGUCCAAAUCUGAUACGUGAUCAAAAACAAAUGGACAUGGCAGCAACAUAUGACUGAAGUAGAUGGGCUCUUUGCAUCUUGUGUUUUCGUAAUUAAAGACAUCAAAAUAUUAAGGUUUAAAUCUUCCAUAGUAGUUAGCAUCAAAAUAGCUUUGAAGCAGAGUGUAAAGAAAAUUCCAAUUCCACUGAUUUGCCUCUGCUCAAACACGAGAACCAAAAUGGUUACUUCCCUUGCUGAGUAUAUUUGGUGACGUCGGAAACGGUAAUAGAUGAUCAAUCAAACCCAGGUACGACGAGUUUUGCAUAGGAUCGGAAGUAGUCGAAUCCAGCUUGCAUCACACGCUUCUUUGACUCCACUGCAUUAGAUGAGUUCUUGUAUUUUUGAACAGCUACACUCCGAAGUCGUUUGUGUCUACGCUUCAUGCGCUGCAACUUCACCCUAUCCAGAUUGGCCUGCCUUUUGUCAUCUUCAAUUUGGCCUUCAACAAAUUCCAAACGUGCCCUUGCCCUUUGGAUUUCAUCACCAAGUUGAAGAUGCCUCUCCUUCCAAAAAGCAACAACUCUUUCAGACUCAAAACUUCCAACAAAAUGGUCAUUCUGUCUAGGAAUGUGACAUUGCUUGUCUGGUGACUCACUUGCGUGUCGAAGGCGGUCUUUGUUUGGAGGGGUGUUUAUUAUGCUCACAUCAAACUUGGUUAGUAAAUCCAUUCUUUGGGGGGAAUGAGUUUGUUUGCUUGAGAGAGUAUCAGUAGAUGGAGACAGAUUCGGUGGAGGAGUGAGUUUUGUGUGGAAGGAGAAUUUAUAUGAAAGGGGUGAUAGUAAUACCAAGAAAAGGGUUCCCGCCAAAAAAUAUUUGGUUGAGAAUGUAUAAAUUAAUUUUUGGUCUGAUACAAUCUAAGUUGAAUCCUAACUAGUUUGGUUGAGUUAACUAAGUAGAUGUCACUUCCAUUGAGUUUCUUUCAACCACUAUCAGUGGUGUCAGGAGAGUGUGAGGUUGACAUGCUUGAAAAGCAAAACCUGACACCUAUUUUUAAAAAAUUCCAUAAAAAAAGUACAUAUGUUGACUACACACAAGCUUUGGUAUGUUGGUCUAUAAACCUAUGUUCCCUUUCUCAAACGAAAUUGCAUAUGCAAUCCUCAUCCUCCCAAAACAAAGAGGAUUAUUCAAGCAUGUCAACCUCUUCAGGCGCCAACAACACAAUCGAAGAUGACAAAUUGGAGUCGCAGGUUCUAUUUCCACAUUGUACUCGCCGACCCCUUCCUUUUUCAACAUCAUUUGGGAGUGAGGGGGACUCCGAUGAUCCAUUAGAGGCAAUACAUGCAGUCAGUGGCAAGCUGGAUUAUAAUUCCAGACUGAUCAAUUCAUGGCACGAGAAAUGUGUUGAAGACGAGGCAAUUUUGGCUGAUCUUAACAUUAGAGUGAACAAAGCGUUCUCCCAAAAGAACAAGUACUUGAAGCUGAGUCAUAGCAGGAAGCUGAAAGCUGAGGAGUUGGAUACAGUAAUGAAUGAUGAAAUGAAAGGUUGUUUGCUGAACCACAUGCGAUGCGAAGAGCACCAUAGUGAACUGGAGUUGGCAUUCAACGAAGGAUUCGACAAAUUUCGAGCAUUUGCGGCAACUACUCAUACAAGUUAUGAUUGGAACUAUGUGUCCCCUGAUGCUGUGAGAGAGAUACUAGACGAUGGGGGUGACAUGAAUGAGCAUAAGCACGUCAAAGCUGCUCGGAAGAAGCCGACCGAUACGACUAAGUGAUUGCGGCUACCGCUGUUCAGUUGGUUGAGGGUGACCGUGGUAUUGCACAUAUACUCCCUUAAUGUCAUUAUCUAAUUUCAAAUAACACAAAUAUCAGUUUCAUUUGCUUCAUAUAUAAUUAUUGGGACUAUGUAUUGCAAGUCAUCAUGUGUUAUAAUGUCUAACAUUAUAUUUUGCAAAUAUGGAAAUAUUAUUCAAUAAGCAGUCAAUAUCACAGCAAGCCGGGAAUCAGUAAAUGCUCCUUAUCAUGUCCAUUUACAUUAAAGAGCUGGCGUACUAAUGUGUUCAAAAAAAACUGAGACGUGAGUCAUAAGUAACAUAACAUGUGCUAUACAUUGUUUACUGAAUGGUUUAUGGUUUAUUUUUAUAUAAUAAAAUUCCAAAUAUUGCUGAAGAUUUAUUUCGUCUAUAUGACUAGGGAUAUGAGUGGCCAUAAGCAUGUGAGACCUGCUAAGAAGAAGCUGACGAGUACGACCGAGUGAUUGUGGCUACCGUUGUUCAGUUGGUUGGGGAGAUCGUGGUAUUGCUAAGAGGGAGCACAUAAUAUGUUUUGCAAUCAAAUGUUCUUUUGUGUGUGGAAUUAUGAGUAUUUAUGUAAGUUAGUGUACCCUUUAAUAUUUUUCACCUAAGUAUCGAAAUGUAAUUAGCUGCAAUGUUAUGUUUCAUUUUUACACGCUGCUUUCUAUUUGCUCUGUUCCAACAAAGUGCUUCAAGUAUCCUUCAGUUACAAAAGUGUACAAAAUCGUGCCCCUAAUAACCAGUCGUCAAAAGUGGCUACUGCUGGAAAUGAUUACUGGUAAUGGAAACAACAGCUGGCUGCUGGAAAUGCUGCAUUAGCCUGAGGAUUUGAAAAAUGAAUCUCUGUUAAAACAUAAUUCACCCUAAACUGCCCAUUUUACAUGGUAAAGGUCAUUGCUUCUUCACAUAACUACAAAUUUCAUACUUGAUCAAAUGUCUAUGAAAAUUUAUAAAUAGGGAGAAGACGUAAAAUUAACAUGUCUCCAAAUUUCAUGGAAGAAUGAAACCAAGGAAAUUUUCAUUUCAAUUACCAGUGGACAUAGUAAGAGCUCAUCGGUGGACAUGAACAAAAACACAAUAAUAUUCAAAAACUGAAUCUAUAAAACUUCACCUGAUCAUUAAUCUUCAUAACAACCACAUUUCGUCUAAUACAAAUAUAAAUCAUUUAGUUGGUCCGUGCAUCCUGUCAAAAUCGUCGAAUAAUGGGUCACUACGAUGUAUUGGAGUUGAUUCGUCAUUGUUCGACGGUGAUGUCCUGCAUAAACAUCAAACACAAGCACAUAAAAAUUUUACCUUUUCAUAUUUUAGAUGUUAUUACAACUAGUGUUAGCAUCUUACGGUGUGUUCAAGGCUGGGCAUUGUCUUCUAUCAUGACCAAUGUGUCCACACUCCCGACAGUGUCUAAUCCCUCGCUUCAUUGCCUUUUCCUUUGCUCCCGUUACUCCUUUCGACCUUCCUUUGCACCUCACUCUCUUAGGGUCUUUCAUAUAUUGUGUUUGAGAGCUGGACCCUCCAACUUCGUUAUUACUUAGUCCAUCCUUCAGCAACUUUAACUUCACCUGCAAACUUUUUAGAGUCUCUGACAGUAGCUCACAUCCUUCUUCACUCAUUAAUGCAUCCUCAACCACAUCUGAAGCAAGUCGAGACAUUGUACUCCGCUUUAUUAGAAGGCCAGGAUCUGCACAGUCUUUAAUUUCGUUGCCAUUUGCAUCUGACACCAUUCCAGAUUUCGCAGUUUUCUUCCACCUCUUCAAAAUAUAUUUAUCGGGCAUAUAUUCAAUCUGGUCCCUUCUGAACAAUGCUAGGAUGUGCUUGCAAAUAAUUCCAACAAAUUCAAAUCUUUUGCAGCUACACGAUGCGUGGUCAGAAUCUUUGACAUAUACGACUUCUGCCACUCUUGUUUCCCAAUUUUUCCUUUCGCUCACGUUAAAGACAACUUUACAAGCAUCCUCUGUUUUGAGCUCUAGGAAACAUGCUGUACUUUGUAUUAGUUCUUGCUCAAACUUUUGAAACAUUGUCCUUGUGUACAAGGUAGCCAUUUGUUUGUUCAUUGGCAUCGGUAGAAGACAUUGAGCCACUUCAAAUGCAUCUACGUGAUCAGCAACUAACUCUUUUUCACGUUGAUGAGAAAGUGCCCUCUCAAAUCGUAUUAUGAAAUCCAUCAACGAAUUUCUCCUUGAUAUGUAUUGCUUGAAAAAACCAUGAGAACCUUCCGCUCUUUGGCUGCUUGACAUUCCAGCGGCAAAAAAUUGUCGUGCGUAGGCUGGAACCCAAGAUUCCCUUAAAUCAAACAUUGAACUUAGCCAUGGAUGGUCGGUCAAACCAGCCUUUGUAACCACAAUAUUCCAUUUUGCAUCAAACUCAUCCUUAUUGUCAGUAUCCCAUAUGGCUUUCUGAAAUUCACGCCAAUACUCCUUAUAAGCGUCACGUGGUAACUUAACAGAGAACUUUGAUGUGAUGUGCCAUAUGCAAAGUCGAUGAAAUGUACUCGGGAAGGCUAUUGAAAUCGCUAUGGCCAUUGCCGCAUCUUGAUCUGUAAUGAUCGUUUUAGGUUCCCCACCUGGCAUGGCUUUCUUAAACUCCUCAAACAUCCAAACAAACGACUCAGUCGUUUCCUUGCUCAAAAAUGCACAUGCUAAGACAAUUGUUUGACCAUGGUUAUUAACUCCCAACAUUGGUGCAAAUGUCAAGUCGUAUCGAUUCGUGUUGAAUGUGGUAUCGAAUACAACAACAUCUCCAUAAAACCCAUACGCCCGUCUAGAAGUUGCAUCUGCCCAAAAACAUCGACUAAACCUGUCAUGCCCAUCUCCCUCAAUCUUGAAAUAAAAAGCCUCAUUUUUUUUCUGUUCAGCCAUAAAAUACUCGGUCACUAGUUCAACAUCGUGGUUCCUCAGCUUCCCAUUCACACUACAUUCAAGAUUGUAGAUAUCUUUUUUGAUAAAACCGAUUUUAUCCAUUCCUCCGGAUUGCACCUUGAAAAUACUUACCUUAUGAUGAAUGGGAAUAUUAACUGAACCCAACUGUUUUGUGAGUACUUUGUAGAAUCUGAAAUAUGACGGUGUGAUCUCAAUAAAUGCAUUCUUUCUGAGGGUGUCAUCUUAUGAUUGUGUCCCUCUGCAAAAAGAGAUAUGGUAUACUUCUUGCUCCCAUUUGUCUUCACAACCACAAUCUUAGCUUUGCAAUUGCAUCUACUUAUUCCCCGUUGUCUUUUUCUCUCCCGAGUUUCAUCCUUCCUGUAUGCACCUUGUUUGCAACAUACAAAUUCUUUCCUCAAAAUCUCUUUCUUAUUUUUCCCCCAAAAGCUAGAAUGAAGUCGAAUACCAAAGCCAGCAAAGAAUGCAUAUCUAUUAUAGAAAUUGUAAACGAGGUCAAGCGAGUCAAACUUCAUCCCAACUGCUGGUGUUUCCUCAUUUCUUACUUCAGGAAUAUAAACCCUCCCAUUAGCUGUUGCACAUUCAUCACUCUCUGAGCCCCCAGACAUUUUAUCUACGUAUAUUAUUGAUCCACUUCUAUAUUACUGCAUAGCAAUUAUUCAUUCAUUAAUCAGUCAUUACUGCAUCACAACAUAUCAAUGCAUUCCACUUACACAAAACAUUGCCCAAAUUGACACAAAAUACGCAUAGCCUAACUUCCGAUUACACAAAACGCAAGCAAAAUUUCAUAAAAGUUACGUCAUCUCUUGUGAAAUAAUCUGGUCAAAAUAACAUUAGAACCAACAUGUUCAACUAAGAACACAAAUGUAAUUCAAACCACCAAUUACAGAACUUCACCCAAUAUCCUCUCCAACUGCUUACUCCUAAUGUCAUUAAGCCUAAGUUUAGGUUCUUUUACCUACAUUUCAUAAUUUUCCACCCCGACCAACAACAAUGAACUAAGAAUAUUGAAUAUUCAUAAGGAAAUGACACAUUAUUGAUGCCACAAAUGACGAAUUUCCCACCCUCACAAAAGAUAAACCUAACCCAAUAAAAUCAAUCCAGCAAGUGAACUUACCUCUCAAAAUCAAUCGGGAGCUCUGAAGUCAGUCAGCUUGAAAGAAUGUGGUGGACAUUACAGAAGACUCUUUGGUAUUUGAGACUCCAUCUCUACCAAAAUCGAGGAACAACUGCUGCUGCGGCUUCUAGCUACAAAAACAGAUAUGCUACUUUGCUUUCAUCUGGAAUCUUGUCAGCUGAAUGAAAAAGAGAAGGGGUUUUCACUUGAGCCAUAGAAUCAAAACAGGGCAACAGCUAGGUAAGAGCCAUUCUUCGUAAUACCCAGGAUACCAUAGAUCGCAGGCCUCCCAACGAGCUAAUGACAGUCGAGUGACUAUAAGGUUUGGGAGAUUUGGAUCCUUCUAAUUGUGGGUUUGCUUUACAUUCAAAAAGAAAGGAUUGUGUUCUUCAGUUUUUCACAGAGAGGGAAAGAGGGGAACAACUGAAGUUGGGUUUCUAACGGGUUAGAUUUCAACCCGAUUCUACAUGCACCCUCUUUUAAAAACUCACCGUUGGAUGAAAUCCAACGGCUCUUACAUGCCCCUCAAAAACACCCCUUAUAACUUCCCACUCACUAUAGAAGCUCCCCUGUUUGUGUUGUUGAAUUGGGUCUUUUAGUUGUUUUUGUAAACUCUGAUUUAAGUCUAGUUUGGUAUUGCUGUACUUUUAAAAAAAACUACUUCCGCUGUGCUGCUAGAAUACUCAGCUGUAAAAAAAAUUAGUUAUGCUUUUGGUAAACUAUAUUUGAAAAAGUGCUGUGAGUAAUCCAAAUGUUUGGUAAAUGACCAAAAAAAAGUGCUUUUAAUACGUACAAUGACUAAAAAGGACAUGAUGAUGGAACUAUUUGAUUUUUUCUUCAUUCUUUUUCUACUUAAAAAAAACUUCACUACAUAAUUUUUUUUUCUUUUUUUAUUUAUACUAUACACGUGUUCCUCUCUUCUCAAAAAAGUAAAUGCCUUUUGUUAUGUAUUGAAUGCUAACCCAACGACACCAAUUGGAAACCCAACACAGCCCAUCUCUCCACUUCAAUUUUUCUCUUUCUACCAUUUACAAGUUUUUUUUCUUCAUUCCUUCGUCUAACCAAAAAUAUCUCAUGUUUCCCCCAAUUAGUUUUAGUACUUUUGGGUAGGUGAGACUGAAAAGGGGAAAAAUUGUAUGUUGGGUUUAUGUUUUGGUGUUCUUGCAAUGGGAGAUAACAUAGUGGAGAAAGUAGCCAUGGUGAAAAUACAGAUUUCUGGGUUGCAGCCAUGGAGAUUUGAGCUGAUUUACAGUGCUGUAGUGGGGGUAGUUGAAGCCCCCCCAAAGUUGGGACUACUGCAACAGGAUCUUUCCACCCAAAACCAAAAACAAGAACAACAAACUCAGGUGGAACAUGAAACUCAUCACUCUCUCUCUUCCUUCGACUCGGGUUUUCUCUCUUCUUCCUCAAACCUGCGACAAAUAGAAAAACCCCCAAUUUAACAGAGAAAACUCUAGAUGCAGAAAGUUUGAGAAGUAGAAAACCAAAAAACCAUAAUUGUAAUUAAGUUAUUGAUGAAUGGGCAACCUUCUUAGCAAUUAAUUUUUUGAUGUCCACAAUGAGAGUUCCAGCAGCGUCAGAGAGUAGAGAAGGAAAUGAAGGAAAUAGAGUUCACAGAAUGGAGAAGAAAAAAGGGGCAAAAGACCGUCAAUUUGUAAAAUAAGUGAGGGUAUUACGGGAAAGUUAAAAGUUCAUUAAAACAACCGGUUAAAUUUUUUUUGAAGCAGCUUUUAAAAGCUUGGUAGAGACGGCUUCGAAAAAACAGCGAUCAUUGACUGCGAUUUUAAAAAAAAGCAGGAUUCCUGAUGUUUUCCAAACACCCAACUCAUGAAAUUUUUUUAUUAAAGCUGCUUUUUAAGAAAAUUAAACGCUGCCAAACACCACCUUAACCAUUUUCUUUGCGUGUGCCAAAUUUAUAAUUUUGACCAGUGUCAUGCAGGAAAAUGUUUCAUGCUUUGUUAACAGGGGGCUUUCGAUGAGUAUUUUAUUUAGAUGAAAAGUGAUUCAUUCCUUUCCUUUAUGGAUUCAUCUUGUUAGGUUGAUCUAUUGAAGAAUGAGCUUGGAUUUGAUGAGGCUUUUAACUAUAAAGAAGAGGCUGACUUGAAUGCGGCUUUCAAAAGGUGCAUAUGAGUAAUGAUAGAGAGAUUACAUUUAUAAACCCUAGCGGACCAUGAAUAUAAUGAGUCUUAAAUCUAUUAGACAAUUGGUUAGUUGACAGGUGGUAUACAAAGCAGUCUACAAAUGUGAUCUCCCUAUCAUUUUCCGUAAAAUACAUAUUUAUUAUGUUAUACUAGUUUCCUUUAGUAAGAAAAGAAAGGAAAAAAACUAUUAUUAAGAAUUUGUGUGUUGUUAGGGUUCAUCAUUGGGCUGGGCCAACUCAAAAAUUUUGGGUUCGAGCCGAGCCCUCAUGGGCCGAAAUGGGCCAGACUUUUUGUUAAAAAGUCUUUUCAAUCUUUUUGUUACACAUUUCGUUUUUUCAAAAGUGAUGGAUAUAGAGUAUUCUCUUAAACAAUAGUAUAGAUUACUACAUAAUUUAAGAAAACAAAAAUAUAAUAGCCAAACUUUUUUACUAAACCUAGACCAAUAACCAAUAUAUUUAAAAAAUAUUAUACCUAAAAAUGAAUCUUAUGAUGUGCAAUUUGUGCCUUAAUUAACUUAUAUCCCAAAUUAGGAUUGACAUCAUGAAAAUUAAAGCAAUUUGUGCCUUUAAAAUUAAUAAACCCAGAAUAAGCUUUCAAAUUCUUUAUUGAACCGUUAAAUUUGAACUUGACAAAAAAGGGGCACUAAGAGAUAUAGUGCAUAUAUUGCUUGUUUGUUACAAAAUUUUAGACAACAUUGAAAAAAUUAACUUAAUUUAUAACAUGUGUAAACAAAAUAAAAAGUUUAUUAGUUUAUCAUACAUAUUACAUUAUUUUGAUUAAGUAUAAAAUGAGGUUAGGGAAUGCAUCAAUUAAUCUUAAAAAAAUGAAAAGCAUAAGCGGGCGGGCCGAGCGGGCCUAACCAUCUUGCUAGGCUGGACUUUGACCCAUCAAGCCUCGGACUACCCACUUCGGAGCCGCGGGCCAAAUGAUGAUCCCUAUAUGUUGUAUAUGAUGCUUUGAAGCUUGAGCUUUCUUGAGUGAAGGAUAAAUUUUCUUUGUAAUUACCAUACACUUGCCAGGUAUUUCCCUGAAGGCAUUGAUAUUUACUUUGAGAAUGUUGGAGGCAAAACGCUAGACGCAGUGCUCCUCAACAUGAGAGUCCAUGGCCGCAUUGCUGUAUGUGGAAUGAUCUCACAGUACAAUCUUGAUCAAGCAGAAGGGGUAACAAAUUUGAUGCACCUUGUGUAAAAACGUAUCCGCCUCCAUGGAUUUUCGGUAAGAGAUCACUAUCACAUCCAUCCGAAAUUCGUGGAGUUUAUGCUGCCUUACAUUAGGCAAGGAAAGAUUGUUUAUGUGGAAGACAUAGUUGAAGGCCUUGAGAGUGGUCCAAGAGCGCUGGUUGGACUUUUUAAGGGUCUUAACUUUGGAAAACAAGUAGUUGACGUCUCUGCAUGAAUAAGUUGUUUUGUCAAUCGAUUUGGUGUGCUUGUGUUUCUAACCACUAUAACUUUGUUAAGUGGCUCUUUGGUUUUAUUUUUAUGUUUUUGGAUCCUUUUUGGGAUUGCAUAUGUUAAGUGGUGCACUUUGUCAUACAGAAGAUAUUCAUCAAUAAUAAGGGCUAAUUCAGGAUUGUUGUCACUUUUAAAAAAAGAUGCUUCUGUUGUGUUUUGGAAAUAAUAAGCUGUAAAGUAGUUCCAUGCGUGUUAAACAAUAUUUUUAAAGUGUUGUUAGUAUAAAAAGUUAUGUCAAAACCGUUUGGUAAAUUUUGAUAUAAAACUAGUAACUGUUGAUAAUGACUAAAACAUACAUGAUAUGUCGAAAGUGUUACGUGGUAACCAUAUGGUGGUGGUGGCGGUGGUGGUAUAGGUGGAGGUUGAGUUGGUGGUGGUGGUGGAGGUGGAGGUGGUGGUGAGGCGUGCUACGGGCACCAACUUAAAUACUAAUUUAAUGAUACCAACCUAUGUGGCAUAUGACAUGACAAUUUAUGUCAUAUGCCACAUCAUUUUUUUUAUUAGUUAAGUUUUAACAAUUUUUUGUCAGAAUUAACUUAAUUAUUUAGUUUUAAAUAAAUAAAUUCUGCUCCACGCCUCCCUUCCUUCUCGGAUCUACUACCAUGGCCUCCUUCCUCCCCAACUUGUAUGCCCUUAUUAUUACGCACAUUGAAUUUGGCUUUCGGGGUGUGACAUAUUUUUACCAAUCCCAUGAAGCUUUUCUUAUCUUUGAAUGCUUGAGUGCUAACCAUUGUGUGUUUCCCUUGCUUUAGGAAGAUUGCCUCACUCAGCAAGAAUGCAUGGUGAGGUGUUUGUGAAUGGUGCAAAAUCGGUACAUGUACAUGGCCACGACACCGAUAUAUAAAUGAGAAGAGAAUUCCUUGGUCAGUAUCAAUAUUGCGAAACUGUUGCAGCAUUGAAGGGUUGUGUGAACUCCUCGAUUUCAAGCGAAGUCGAAUAUUGCUUGAUGUGGAAGAUGGCUCAAACUAAUAAAAAUGAGGAAAACGGAUCAUACCAACAAAAAUAUGGCAGAUGGCCAGAAUCAAUAUAACCGUGGUCAGAUUUGGGAAGUGAGGCCAUGGCAGAUUCGGAGAGGGAGGGAGGCCAUGGCAGAUCUAUAAAGGAAUGGAGAAACAGAUCACACCUCUUCCCUUCUCCUCAUACCACAACUCAUCAUACACACCCAAUCGAUUUUGAAAUAUUACAUAAAAGUUGUGAUGGCGCUGGAACUGCAGAUUCAGAACGUUUUUUAUAUGCUUCCCACAAGCAGUCAGACAAACCCUUAGAGGACGAGUGACAUCAUUACCUUCUCAACUUACCAAAGAAAGAACUCCUUCCGAAGUGGUAACCACUUGCCGAUGCUCCCAACUACAGAACCAAGUUUCCAUGGACACGUGUCACCUCCACAAUAGUUUGCACAAAGUCCGACAUUGAAACUUUGUGCAAAACUCCCAUUUUCAGGGAACAGUACCUAAGGAAAAGGGGUAACUACUUUUCACAUUUACUGUUACUCUGCCAAAAUUACCACAUAUACUCGCUGACUUAAGUAUUGGAGAGUCUUCGGCAGGUACCACACCAGUGUCCGAAGCUUGACGAUCCCUUCUUCCUUGUUUUCUUAUGCAAGAUCCCUCCAUACCGAAGGUCCACAACCUUCUCCCUUGCUGAAGAUUUAACACUCCUUUAUCUAAGUUAACCCUCCGAAAAAGAGCAUCAACACGCGCAGCACUCAUUAUCUUUCAACAAUCUGAUUAUCUUAUACUAGUUAAUUUAUGGGUUGUUUGAUAACAAUUUCAAUUUUAAUUUUUAGUUUUCAUUUUCAUUUUUUUUGAAAACUGAAAACAUGUUUGGUAUUAGAUUUCGUUUUCAAAUUAAAAAAAAAGUGAAAUCUAGUUUUCAAAAUCACCUUUUUUUUAAAAAACAACUUGGAAGUGUUUUAUGUUUUUUUUUUAUGUUUUUUUUUUUUUUUUUUUUUUUUUUGUGCACUAUUGUUUGUUGGAGUGUUAGUUGACUUUCUUUGCACACCAAGGUUUCCCAUAUUAACUCAUGCAUAGAUUGGAAUUGAUUUCCUACUCUAAAUAGUAUUAGAAGUUAUUAAUUACCUUACUUAGCCUUCAAGGAAUAUUGUAUUAUAAAUAUGGCCUUCUACAAGGAGAAGAAUACACAGAAAAUUCUCACCACAAUUACUCUUUCGUAAUUUUAGCAUUAUUUCAUUCAUAAGUUUCACAUCACCACACAUGAAAUGCACUCCGGUUACCAAAAGUCGGUAUUUGGGACCUCCCAACUUGGACUUGGUCGCUCAAUUCGUGCUUUUGGCCACAAUCCCAAUCCAAACCUCGUCAACUCCAUGUCCAAAGGUCACUAAAAAAUAAUCAUAAUUUUAAAAAAUUCACCAAAAAAUAUUACGAAUUUUUUGUCAUUCCUGCUUUAACUUUACCUUUUGUUUUCAAAUGUUGACCCGUCCCAACCCAACUCUCAAUGCUCGAAGGGUUCUUUCGUGUAGUUAAGAGUUGGGUUUUCCAAGGUAGGUCUAUAUUGAUUCGAACAACUUUGCGGUAUAUCUGUGGGUAAGAUACUGUUCUCAAAGUAGUAAAGGCUGAACUAAAAGGCUAAAUGGGAAAAUGAAUACUUUCUUUUCUCUUCCUCAAGAAACAUACAUCCUCACCACAAGAGAGGGAGAGUUGCUUGGUAUUUUGUUAAAUAAAAUAAAAUAAUUAAUAAUUGAAAAUAGAAAAUGUUUGAAAAGGAUAUUGGGAAUAAAGAGAGAAGAUGCGGGUGUGAGUAAAAUAACAAUAAAAGAAAAUUAAAUCAAAAAUAAAAAAAUAAAAAAAUAAUUAAGUUUUGGGGAGUAGAAAUCGGGAUGGAGGGGGGAGAGAGAGGUUUUUUUUUAAAAAUUUUUUAUUCGUAUUUUAAUCAAUUUUGAUAUUGUUGAGGCCCAAAAAAGUUACGGGAAGCCCAAAGACAUUUAAAGCCCAAUAUAACAUAUAUUCUCAGUCAUGCGUUAAUCCAAGCUGUAAUUCGGAUUUAAUUCAUUAAAUAAAUAUAAAAUAGUGUACAUGUCAUGCUAAACUAAUAAUACAUUUUCCCCAUGCUAAUCACCUAUCAAGCUCACAUGAACCCAAGUCAUGUGAUUUACGGGCUUGCAUGAGGGAUUGUGGUGUGGAAGGUUACGGAGGUCCACAAGGCCCACGGAAGCUCUUGGAUAACAGAGACUUUGGGCUAGCUACUUGAGAGCACCAAAGUCCAAGCCCAUUACUUAGAGUUCUCCAAUGUGGGUGAGCAAAUGAGACAUUUUUCAAGCACUGCCUUUUACCUAUAGGAAAUAGUCAUUUUCCAAAUACCAAGCUUUACCCGUUGGAAACAAGCAUUUUCCAGCACUUCCUAUUACCCAUUGGAAACAAGCAGUUUCCAGUGCUUCCUUUUACCAAUAGGAAAAAAUCUGUUUAUGAUACCUAGCUUUACCUAUUGGAAAAUAGCAUGUCCUAGUCCUCCCUUUUAACCAUUAGAAAUAGGUUGGUUCCAAUACCUCCCUUUACCUAUUGGAAAUAAAGGAAAACCCUCACCCUCUAUAAAUUGGCACUCAUGGCUCAAGCAAAAGGCACCAAUUUUUCUUCAGCCAAUACUUCCUCACUCGGCUACUGCAAGCAUCCCAGCAGCCACCAACCCCCAUAAAGCAUCACCUAGCUCCAAGCUUUUCCUUCCUUCCAAGCUUUAAACACCAUAGCCUUUAAACCUCAAGCUUUUCCUUCCAUCCUCCUUCUCUUGAAACUCUUAAAUCCCCAUAGCCAUAGCCACACACAACAAAUUAUCAACACCAAACUCAAACAUAUCCAACACCAAGCCAAGCACAUGCAUUCUCAUUUGCUAAACUUGUGGGUCUUUAGCUCCUACACUCCAAGCUCUCAUGCUAAGCUCACAUAAUCUCAUACCAACAUCAGCAAGUCAUCUUCAACUCUUCGUCGAGCUGCCGAAAACAUCAACACAAAACAUGCAGCCGUUGGAAGAAGAACAAAGUACUCUCCCGGGACUUGCUUUUCCCUUGGGACACUUUGGGCCUAGUUCUCGCUAACUCAGAUAAAGGAACAACGAAGUCUUCAUUCAUCACUCUAUGGCGACCCAAGAAUCAACAAAGCCCGGAUGAGCCUUCGAACGAAAGUGACCACAUGCAAAGCUCAAGCUUCAAUAGCCAAGCCCAAGCUUUUGGUUCCUAAAAACAUGCUUACGACAGCUGCAACAAACAAUACCUAAGUCACCAUAAGUGAUAUGCCCCAGCGUCUCAAGCACUUUCUAUGCCCUGACAAUUCUAAUGAUCAAGUUUUAGAGUCAAACCAAAAGGCCAUUGGGAUGUCUCAAUUGCCACAAUUCCAUAAUCAAUCAUCAUCAAGCCUCAAGCCUUAUUCAAGAAAUCCAAGCACUAUUCUUUACUCAAGAAGGAAAACAUCUCAGUUCGUGGCAAAUAGAAGGAAAAUACUACGAAGGUACCGGAAGAACCUAAACACUGUCAAGAUGAAGUUUCCUUUACCAAGCAAUCAAAAUUUUUGAAGUGAUGUCAAGCUAUCAAGAAAAAGAGUAAAGUCACUAUGCAACACAACAACCAAAAUAUGCUUGUAGUAACCAAGAUUCAAGCCAAGCAAAAUGUGGAAGAUAAUGAUGCGUUGUAUGAAAUGCUCCUGGAAGAUAACACAAGCCCUAUAGUCAUGCUGCCGGAAGAGUGAACCAUCAUGCCACUAAAUUUGAAAGAGGAGCCCCAUAUCUGAGUACUGGAAGGCAGCGCAGUGGACUCCAAAACUAAGAUCUAGUCCAAGUGACUUAAGGCCUCCAUAUUGCAAUGCUUAUUUGCCAACACCUAUACCGCUUUCAAGCUACUGCAGACACUAUCAUGCUCAAAUCCUUAAGCAUCUCCCAUUGUAUUUUCAUCUUCUAAUCUACCAAAGCCCUCAUGAUUGACCAAGCUAUAUCUUGAUUCAACUCCACCCACUUGCUCUUUACAGCAGCCCAGGCCCAUCUGUAGCUGCCGGAACAAAAAAGCCCCAACGUAAAUGACAAAACCGAAACACUAAAGCACAUCCACCAUGCUAAAUAGCCCAAAAGCUAUAUUAAACCACGACACUUUAGCCAAUACCAAGCGUACAAGCCAAUGCCCAGCAUCCAAGCAUACAAGCCAAAGCUUAGCGUACAAGCCAAUACUAAGCAUACAUGCCAAUGCCAAGCAUACACACCAAUGCCAAGCAUCCAAGCCAAUACCAAGCGUACAAGACAAAGCCAAGCAUACAAGUCAAUACCAAGCAUACAUGCCAAUGCUACGCGUAUACGCCAAUGCCAAGCAUCUAAGCCAAUACCAAGCAUACAAGCCAAAGCCAAGCGUACAAGCCAAUACCAAGCAUAUAUGAGCCCAAGAUCAAGCGUACAUGCCAAUGCCAAGCAUCCAAAUCAAAUACUAAGAAUACAUGUCAACAUCAAGCAUACAUGCCAACACCAAAUAUACACGUAAAAACCAAGGAAGCAAGCACGGAUGUUUCAUGCAUAUUGAAGAACCAGCCAUGUCAUGCCACUGCCAAUUAUUUUGGGCUGAAAUAGAUUAUUGGGCCCAUCUCACUGCCACUUCAUAGCCCCAAUAAUCAAGGGGGCUAAUGUUGAGGCCCAAAAAAGUUACGGGAAGCUCAAAGACAUUCAAAGCCUAAUAUAACCUAUAAUGUCACUCAUGCGUUAAUCCAAGCUGUAAUUUGGAUUUAAUUCAUUAAAUAAAUAUAGAAAUAGUGUACAUGCCAUACCAAAAUAAUAAUACAUUUUUUCCAUGCCAAUCACCUAUCAAGCUCACAUGAACCCAAGUCAUGUGGUUUAUGGGGCUUGCAAGAGGGAUUGUGGUGUGGAAGGUUACGGAGGUCCACAAGGUUCAUGGAAGCUCUUGAAUAAUGGAGACUUUGGGCUAGCUACUUGGGAGCACCAAAGUCCAAGCCCAUUACUUAGAGUUCUCUAAUGUGGGUGAGCAAAUGAGACAUUUUUUAAGCACUUCCUUUUAUCCAUAGGAAAUAGUCAUUUUCCAAAUAUCUAGCUUUACCCGUUGGAAACAAGCCUUUUCCAGCACUUCCUAUUACCCACUGGAAAUAAGCAGUUUCUAUUACUUCCUUUUACCAAUAGGAAAUAAUCUGUUUAUGGUACUAGCUUUACCUGCUGGAAAAUAGUAUGCCCUAGUGCUCCCUUUUAACCAUUAGAAAUAGGUUGGUUCCAGUACCUCCCUUUACCUAUUGGAAAUAAAGGAAAACCCUCACUCUCUAUAAAUUGGCACUCAUGGCUCAAGUAAAAGGCACCAAUUUUUCUUCAGCCAACACUCCCUAACUCAGCUGCUGCAAGCAUCCCAGCAGCCACCAACCCCCAUAAAGCAUCACCUAGCUCCAAGCUUUUCCUUCCUUCCAAGCUUUAAACACCAUAGCCUUCAAACCUCAAGCUUUUCCUUCCAUCAUCUUUCUCUUGAAACUCUUAAAUCCCCAUAGCCAUAGCCACACACAACAAAUUAUCAACACCAAACUCAAACAUAUCCAACACCAAGCCAAGCACAUGCAUUCUCAUUUGCUAAACUUGUGGGUCUUUAGCUCCCACACUCCAAGCUCUCAUGCCAAGCUCAUAUAAUCUCAUACCAACAUCAGCAAGUCAUCUUCAACUCUUCGUCGAGCUGCCGAAAACAUCAACGCAAAACACGCAGCCGAUGGAAGAAGAACAAAGUACUCUCCCGAGACUUGCUUCUCCCUCGGGAUACUUUGGGCCUAGUUCUCGCUAACUCAGACAAAGGGGCAACGAAGUCUUCAUUCAUCACUCUAUGGCGAUCCAAGAAUCAACAAAGCCCGGAUGAGCCUUCGGACGAAAAAGACCCCAACAGAUAUAAAAAUACCAUUUUUCCCCUGCAGUUAACAGAAAAGUUAACAGCCGGACCAUUUGUCCUAACGAAACUGAAGUUGAAGAACUACGGGAACCAUUUUGAAAAUUGAGGUACUCAAAUACAAAUCGGGUCUAAGUUCAGGGAUUAAUAAAACAAUUAACCCCUGAGUUUAUAAUGCUCGAGAGUAUAUAGGAAGAGGACACUCCAACUGGCAGCUAUGGAGGAGGCCAAGACUAGUAGUGUCUAUUCUGUGAAAGCUAACUUUGCUUUCUUAUUAUCCACAACUUAGAUAUAUCAAUGGCUUCUUGCAAGAACCUCAAUUCUUUAUGAACUUUCUGCCCUAAAAUGCUUUAUCUAAUAGCUCAGACAAUGGUGAAAGAAAAAAAAUUGUUGUUGGAAUCUUAGCAUAAUAAUAUUUUCCAGCCAAAAUCAGUUGUUAGAUUCUCCAACAGCACAAUCUCUUUUCGCAAUCACAUACUAGUCAAUCCUACAGAGCAUAAGAUCCUACUUUGAGGGGUGGAAAGGAAUGAAUUCAACUCACCACUAUUAUGACCAAGGCAAUAAUUUUCAUUUCCAUCACAUGAUUCUAGGUGACCCACAACUCCAUACCACCAACCUGCAAUAUAUACAGAAAAUCCUAUCAAGCAAUGGACAAUGGGAAAUUAAUUAAUUUCACCUUUUAUUUAAGUUUCUGCAUAUUAAACGAAUCUACUUUCAUUAUAUAUUUAAGGGAAAUGUAAGCCUUUUUUUUCGUUCUUUACCCUUUUUUUUCCUCACCUUAAUGGGGCUUGAGGAUGUUUGAAUUGUUCGCUAGAACUACUUUCAUUAUCUAUUUGAGGCAUACUUCAUGAACCACAUGGAUUCUAGGAAGUGAUAUAGACCUUUGUUUCUUUCAUUUGAGCCCUUCUAGCCAACCCGUAUCACUUUUAUCCCUUGUUAAUCACCUUGUGCCUUUUAUGUAAGCCUUUUUUUUCGUUCUUUACCCUUUUUUCCUCACCUUAAUCUAUCAUAUGUUACCCUUCUAAGGAGUUUUGUACAGUAUUUUCGUUGUUAAGGGAGAAUUGCACAACAAUCAUGUGGAAAGUAAAGGAUACUAUUUCCAAAAAAAAAACCUAAUUUCAAACCCUUUUCAACUCGAGUUAUUGAGCCCUAUGAGUGUUUUACAUUUAAUUUCGUAAAGCUAUGUAGCUUGGGAGUCAUUGGCCUAACACUCGCUGCAUGGGUUGAUUAGAAAGCUAAUGAAGAGUUAGAAAAAAAAAUUGUGAAAAAUAAAUAAAUUUCAAGACAGUAUCAAUAUGAAGUUGCGUGCUCAAAGUGCAAGAUGUUAUAAUUUUCAUGGAAAGCUCUAUGAAUUCCUUAGAAUUUGUUCAUCCAUAUCUUUUUCUUGUUUCACCCGUCACUCUAAGCCCCAUUACAACCUUAUUUGAAGACUAUUCUGCUAUUUUCUCAAGGCGUGCAAUAUAUGACUGGAAAGAUAAGAUAAAGACCUACAAUUUACAUAUUUUUUCAGAAUUUUCUCGGAGGAGGAAUGAUUCCAAACGUGGGUGCAAAGUAACUAACGUGUUAUCCUAGUCCAAGUAGGAAGAUGAGUCAAUUACUUACCCAUUUUGGAUUUAAGUUUUAAUUAGCUGUUUCUUUAUUUUUGGGCUGUUGUAAAAGGCCAGCUAAGGUAGGAAUAGACGUGUGGCAUUUUAUUUAAGCAUGAGACAACUCCUUUGGGAAGACGCAAAGACUAGGAGAAAUUGGAGACGCCGGAAGAGUACCACAAUUGGCUAAGUUUUAUUGUUUCUUCCUUAUGUUUUUGUUUAUGUCAAAUUCUAUGAUUAUGUGUAACUAAUUUUAUUUUGCUAGGGCAUGAUGUAUGCCUAGUAUGAUAAUCUAGUUUUCUUAUUUUACCUAUCUAUUGAUUGCAGUUUGAUGUUAGAUUCUUAAUCACUGUGCUUAGUACCUUAGUUGAUUACCUUGAUGCUUGAUCACCAUCUAGACUUUUAAUUGAGUUAAUCGGAUGCGAAUUAGAGUAAAUACCAUACUUAAUUUGAGGUUUGCUUCUUGUGAUUAGAAUUUGUAAUUUGUCUAAAGUAAAUACCAUACUCCUAGAAUUUACAUGCUUGUUGGAGGUUUUCACUGAUUUCAAUAUUUUCCCGACAUGUGAUGCCAACAACAUAGAUGUUUCAAUGUUUCACUAUGGAAGCAAUCACGUAAGGAUUAACAUGGCAGGACAUCAGACAUGAGAAACUAAGAAGAGAGAGAGAGAGAGAGAGAGAGACUUGCCAUUCAAGCAAGAGAAGGCCAUAACACUAUAUAGCAAUAGCACCGUAAAAUAAGAUGCAAAGAAUGAGGGGGUCAUGUUUUCAAGUACCAAAACACGCAAGGGCAUUUUGGUAAAGUACAUCUGAAAAUAAAUCAAGGCAAGCAAAGCCGUAGAUAUCCUCUUCCUGCUACACAUAGUAUUAGCCUACGUAAGGUCAUUACGGCGCCGUUUCCCUUUUUAAUUGGCGUAGUUCAACUCAUCAUCCACCCAAGUUCAUUUCGUUCAAAGCUAUAAAUAACCCCUCAAACCAUUCAACUUUCCCACCACCACUCCUCACUCCUUCAACUCAUUAACCUCUCUCUCUCUCUCUCUCUCUCUCUCUCUCUCUCUCAUCCGCAAAUGGCGAACCGUAGAAGCCUCUUUUCUCUCUCACUUAUCUUUGUGUUCAUGAUCAACUCAGCCAUAGCCACUCCAGUCACAUACAAUGUGGCCAGUUUAGGAGCCAAAGCAGAUGGCAAGACUGACUCCACAAAAGCCUUCCUCUCUGCAUGGGCUAAAGCUUGUGCCUCGAUGAAUCCCGGUGUCAUUUAUGUGCCGGCAGGAACGUUCUUU